UGAGGAAUAUUGGACAAUGGGUGAGAGCCUGAUCCAGCCAUCCCGCGUGCAGGAAGACGGCCCUAUGGGUUGUAAACUGCUUUUAUACAUGAAUAAACCACUUUACGGGUUAAGGUGUUGAAGGUAAUGUAUGAAUAAGCAUCGGCUAACUCCGUGCCAGCAGCCGCGGUAAUACGGAGGAUGCGAGCGUUAUCCGGAUUUAUUGGGUUUAAAGGGUCCGUAGGCGGGCUAAUAAGUCAGUGGUGAAAUCGUUCAGCUUAACUGAGCAACUGCCAUUGAUACUGUUAGUCUUGAGUGAAUUUGAAGUUGCCGGAAUAUGUAGUGUAGCGGUGAAAUGCAUAGAUAUUACAUAGAACACCAAUUGCGAAGGCAGGUAACUAAGAUUUAACUGACGCUGAUGGACGAAAGCGUGGGGAGCGAACA
rnacentral:rRNA from 1 species